AGUGAACGCUGGCGGUAGGCCUAACACAUGCAAGUCGAACGGCAGCACAGUAAGAGCUUGCUCUUACGGGUGGCGAGUGGCGGACGGGUGAGGAAUACAUCGGAAUCUACUUUUUCAUGGGGGAUAACGUAGGGAAACUUACGCUAAUACCGCAUACGACCUACGGGUGAAAGCAGGGGAUCUUCGGACCUUGCGCGAUUGAAUGAGCCGAUGUCGGAUUAGCUAGUUGGCGGGGUAAAGGCCCACCAAGGCGACGAUCCGUAGCUGGUCUGAGAGGAUGAUCAGCCACACUGGAACUGAGACACGGUCCAGACUCCUACGGGAGGCAGCAGUGGGGAAUAUUGGACAAUGGGCGCAAGCCUGAUCCAGCCAUACCGCGUGGGUGAAGAAGGCCUUCGGGUUGUAAAGCCCUUUUGUUGGGAAAGAAAAGCAGCAGGUUAAUACCCCGCUGUUCUGACGGUACCCAAAGAGUAAGCACCGGCUAACUUCGUG
rnacentral:rRNA from 1 species